AUACGGAGGGUGCAAGCGUUACUCGGAAUCACUGGGCGUAAAGCGCGCGCAGGCGGCUAUUUAAGUUGGAUGUGAAAGCCUACGGCUCAACCGUAGAACUGCAUCCAAAACUAUUUAGCUAGAGCGUGGGAGAGGAAGAUGGAAUUAGUUGUGUAGGGGUAAAAUCCGUGGAGAUAACUAGGAAUACCAAAAGCGAAGGCAAUCUUCUGGAACACUACUGACGCUGAGGCGCGAAAGCGUGGGGAGCAAACAGGAUUAGAAACCCUAGUAGUCC
rnacentral:rRNA from 1 species